GACGAACGCUGGCGGCGUGCUUAACACAUGCAAGUCGAACGCUGAAGCUUGGUGCUUGCACUGGGUGGAUGAGUGGCGAACGGGUGAGUAAUACGUGAGUAACCUGCCCUUGACUCUGGGAUAAGCCUGGGAAACUGGGUCUAAUACUGGAUACGACAUGUCACCGCAUGGUUGUGUGUGGAAAGGGUUUUGCUGGUUUUGGAUGGGCUCACGGCCUAUCAGCUUGUUGGUGGGGUAAUGGCUCACCAAGGCGACGACGGGUAGCCCGCCUGAGAGGGUGACCGGCCACACUGGGACUGAGACACGGCCCAGACUCCUACGGGAGGCAGCAGUGGGGAAUAUUGCACAAUGGGCGGAAGCCUGAUGCAGCGACGCCGCGUGAGGGAUGACGGCCUUCGGGUUGUAAACCUCUUUCAGCACGGAAGAAGCGAAAGUGACGGUACGUGCAGAAGAAGCGCCGGCUAACUACGUG
rnacentral:rRNA from 1 species